ACGAGCCACAUGCAGGGAAACUUGCACGUGUGGUUCUGGCCGGGGAUCCCGGU
rnacentral:ncRNA from 1 species